UACGGAGGGUGCAAACGUUGCUCGGAAUCAUUGGGCGUAAAGCGCACGUAGGUGGCCUGUUAAGUCGGGUGUGAAAUCCCUGGGCUCAACCCAGGAAGUGCACUCGAAACUGGCAGGCUUGAGUACUGAAGAGGGUCGCGGAAUUCCCGGUGUAGAGGUGAAAUUCGUAGAUAUCGGGAGGAACACCAGUGGCGAAGGCGGCGGCCUGGGCAGAUACUGACACUGAGGUGCGAAAGCGUGGGGAGCAAACAAG
rnacentral:rRNA from 1 species